rnacentral:rRNA from 1 species
GACGAACGCUGGCGGCGUGCUUAACACAUGCAAGUCGAGCGGAAAGGCCACUUCGGUGGUACUCGAGCGGCGAACGGGUGAGUAACACGUGAGUAAUCUGCCCCUGGCUUCGGGAUAGCCACCGGAAACGGUGAUUAAUACCGGAUAUGACAUUCCCUCGCAUGGGGGUGUGUGGAAAGUUUUUCGGCCAGGGAUGUGCUCGCGGCCUAUCAGCUUGAUGGUGAGGUAAUGGCUCACCAUGGCUUCGACGGGUAGCCGGCCUGAGAGGGUGACCGGUCACACUGGGACUGAGACACGGCCCAGACUCCUACGGGAGGCAGCAGUGGGGAAUAUUGGACAAUGGGCGGAAGCCUGAUCCAGCAACGCCGCGUGAGGGAUGACGGCCUUCGGGUUGUAAACCUCUUUCAGUACCGACGAAGCGCAAGUGACGGUAGGUACAGAAGAAGCACCGGCCAACUACGUGCCAGCAGCCGCGGUAAUACGUAGGGUGCGAGCGUUGUCCGGAAUUAUUGGGCGUAAAGGGCUCGUAGGCGGUUUGUCGCGUCGGGAGUGAAAACGCCGUGCUUAACACGGCGCUUGCUUUCGAUACGGGCAGACUAGAGGUAUUCAGGGGAGAACGGAAUUCCUGGUGUAGCGGUGAAAUGCGCAGAUAUCAGGAGGAACACCGGUGGCGA